AUACGGAGGAUCCGAGCGUUAUCCGGAUUUAUUGGGUUUAAAGGGUGCGUAGGCGGGACUGUAAGUCAGGGGUGAAAUACUGCAGCUUAACUGUAGCAUUGCCUUUGAAACUGCCGUUCUUGAGUACAGUUGAGGUAGGCGGAAUGUGGUGUGUAGCGGUGAAAUGCAUAGAUAUACCACAGAACGCGGAUUGCGAAGGCAGCUUACUAAGCUGUUACUGACGCUGAGGCACGAAAGCGUGGGGAUCAAACAGGAUUAGAUACCCUGGUAGUCCACGCUGUAAACGAUGAUUACUGGUUGUUAGCGAUAUAUAGCUAGUGACUGAGCGAAAGCAUUAAGUAAUCCACCUGGGGAGUACGUCGGCAACGAUGAAACUCAAAUGAAUUGGCGGGG
rnacentral:rRNA from 1 species